UAACGCGUGAGGAACCUGCCUCAAAGAGGGGGACAACAGUUGGAAACGACUGCUAAUACCGCAUAAGCCCACGGUGCCGCAUGGCACAGAGGGAAAAGGAGCAAUCCGCUUUGAGAUGGCCUCGCGUCCGAUUAGCUAGUUGGUGAGGUAAAGGCUCACCAAGGCGACGAUCGGUAGCUGGCCUGAGAGGACGACCAGCCACACUGGGACUGAGACACGGCCCAG
rnacentral:rRNA from 1 species